rnacentral:rRNA from 2 species
UGCCCCAGUAACGGCGAGUGAAGCGGCAACAGCUCAGAUUUGGAAUCUGGCCCCCCCCGGGGGCCCGAGUUGUAAUCUGGAGAGGAUGCUUCUGGCGCGGCGCCCGGCGAGUUCCCUGGAACGGGACGCCGGAGAGGGUGAGAGCCCCGUACUCCGGGCCGCCUAGCCUCUGCGAAGCUCCUUCGACGAGUCGAGUAGUUUGGGAAUGCUGCUCUAAACGGGAGGUAAAUUUCUUCUAAAGCUAAAUACCGGCCAGAGACCGAUAGCGCACAAGUAGAGUGAUCGAAAGAUGAAAAGCACUUUGAAAAGAGGGUCAAACAGUACGUGAAAUUGUUGAAAGGGAAGCGCCCGUGGCCAGACUUGCGCCCCGCGGCUCACCCGGCGGACCCCGCCGGGGCACGCCGCGGGGCGCAGGCCAGCAUCGGCUUCCCCAGGGGGACAAGGACGGCGGGAACGUGGCUCCUCCGGGAGUGUUAUAGCCCGCCGCGCCAUGCCCCUGGGGGGGCCGAGGACCGCGCUUCGGCAAGGAUGCUGGCGUAAUGGCCACCGGCGACCCGUCUUGAAACACGGACCAAGGAGUCAAGCAUUGGGGCGAGUGUCUGGGUGGCAAACCCGCACGCGAAAUGAAAGUGAACGCAGGUGAGAGCUUCGGCGCACCACCGACCGAUCCUGAUGUCCUCGGAUGGAUUUGAGUAAGAGCCCCACCGCUUGGACCCGAAAGAUGGUGAACUAUGCCUGAAUAGGGUGAAGCCAGAGGAAACUCUGGUGGAGGCUCGCAGCGGUUCUGACGUGCAAAUCGAUCGUCAAAUUUGGGCAUGGGGGCGAAAGAC